ACGAAGGGGGCUAGCGUUGUUCGGAUUUACUGGGCGUAAAGCGCACGUAGGCGGAUUGUUAAGUCAGGGGUGAAAUCCUGGAGCUCAACUCCAGAACUGCCUUUGAUACUGGCAAUCUAGAGUCCGGAAGAGGUGAGUGGAACUCCUAGUGUAGAGGUGGAAUUCGUAGAUAUUAGGAAGAACACCAGUGGCGAAGGCGGCUCACUGGUCCGGUACUGACGCUGAGGUGCGAAAGCGUGGGGAGCAAACAGGA
rnacentral:rRNA from 1 species